UACGUAGGUCCCGAGCGUUGUCCGGAUUUAUUGGGCGUAAAGCGAGCGCAGGUGGUUUAAUAAGUCUGAUGUAAAAGGCAGUGGCUCAACCAUUGUGUGCAUUGGAAACUGUUAGACUUGAGUGCAGUAGAGGAGAGUGGAAUUCCAUGUAUAGCGGUGAAAUGCGUAGAUAUAUGGAGGAACACCGGUGGCGAAAGCGGCUCUCUGGACUGUAACUGACACUGAGGCUCGAAAGCGUGGGUAGCAAACAGG
rnacentral:rRNA from 1 species